rnacentral:tRNA from 1 species
GUUUCUGUAGUUGAACACAACGGCGGUUUUUCAGGCCGCAGGUCUCGGUUAAAGUCCGGGUAGAAUCA